rnacentral:rRNA from 1 species
AUUGAACGCUGGCGGCAUGCCUUACACAUGCAAGUCGAACGGUAACGCGGGGCAACCUGGCGACGAGUGGCGAACGGGUGAGUAAUGCAUCGGAACGUGCCCAGUAGUGGGGGAUAGCCCGGCGAAAGCCGGAUUAAUACCGCAUACGACCUACGGGUGAAAGGGGGGGAUCGCAAGACCUCUCGCUAUUGGAGCGGCCGAUGUCAGAUUAGGUAGUUGGUGGGGUAAAGGCCUACCAAGCCGACGAUCUGUAGCUGGUCUGAGAGGACGACCAGCCACACUGGGACUGAGACACGGCCCAGACUCCUACGGGAGGCAGCAGUGGGGAAUUUUGGACAAUGGGCGCAAGCCUGAUCCAGCCAUGCCGCGUGCGGGAAGAAGGCCUUCGGGUUGUAAACCGCUUUUGUCAGGGAAGAAAUCUUCUGGGUUAAUACCUCGGGAGGAUGACGGUACCUGAAGAAUAAGCACCGGCUAACUACGUGCCAGCAGCCGCCGUAAUAC